UCUGGAAAAAAAAGGUUAUACUAACACAAUUCCUAACGUAAAGUUGGUACAACACUGGCUAACACUGGCUAAUUCAACAAUUGCUACUCAGACUUGGGUACUAAGAACAACAGAGGGAUGAGAUGGGAGUCUGGUUAGGAAAUCUUGCUUUGAUCAUUUCGUUCAUAAUUAACACUUGGCCCAUUUAAGGAACAAAGUAUAUCUGCAUAUUUCACUGACAAGCCUACAUUUGAAAAAAUAGACAAAAGAAAUGAUACCUAUAAAAGGCAGUAUACGAAUGAAAACAAGUUAGUUACAUUAACACUGGAAGCCAUUUUUUACCAACUGCUGCCAUGUUUUAUCACAGUAAUUUCUAGUCAAAUAUGGUAUUUGUAAAUUUAAACUUUCUUUCAUAGAAAGGGGGCCGGUACCUGUUAAAGUUUUAUUUUAUGCAAUAAUGUAGUUGCUUAUUAUUUUGGCAAUUAGAAGUAGUCUCAAAGGAGAUUCCAAUUUGGUUGCUGGCAGCCAUACUGGGUUUCUUGAUUUCAGUGCUCCAAAGAAUAUGGUGGUCUCAAGGAGUAGUUGACCACUAAGGAGGGAAGGAUGAAAAGGGAAUCGCUUAUUCAUUCUCAGCAUAGAAUACAUAAAGAAUGAUCAGUGGAUAACUGACAUAGUUGUGUUGAGAAGUUAACUGUACCGUAGCUUACUACUGCCAGCGUAGCAAUGAUGUACAAUGAAAGAAAUGAAAAAUACAAGUCAUUAUUAAGCCACCUGAUUAAAAGGAAGUCAGUAUUUAAAGGCAUUUAAUACCUACUGAGUACAAAUCUGAGAAGAACCAUAUCUGUAUUACAAAAAAAAAAAAAAAUGUUUUCAUUUUCUGUAAGAUACAAUGAACUGGUAAACAAACAUUAAAAGUCAAUUUUAUGU
rnacentral:lncRNA from 1 species